UGCUCCAUGUAUGUUUCCAAACAUUUAAUGUGACAUUUUUUGAAAGUUUAAAGGGAAGUCACAACCUAUGUCACCGACGCCCCCCUCCGAUCAGGGCCAUCGAGGGCACCACCACACAGCUUGACCUCCAUCCAGGACCCUCAAGGGCGCCACCGCACGGCCUUACCUCCUUCCAGGCUGCCUCGCCCGCUCCAUCUUAUGGUGCUGCAUCCCCUUCGUUGGCGGUCACCGGAUCCCGUGUUGCAGACUGAUGCACUCUCAGUGUAGCUGUCAAGUGAAUGCACUGCUUGAUGCCGUUUUAACAUGUGGGAAAAAUCUACUUUUGCUGAUUGAGGGGGAAUGGACUCCUACCAGAAAAUCUUUGUGCAAACUGAGUAGGACAAACUGAAAUUGCAAUAUGAUCGACUUCAGGUUGUUGUUGCUACUUGCUGUCAUGCUCCAGGCGUCCAAGUAGGUGAUAAAAAAGUAAUGAGUAAUCAUUUGUCUUGAAUCUGCAGCCUAAAGUUUGGUGGGCAUUCUAUUGAAUUGGCAGUUAAAAAUAAUGAAUGUGCUUACAAGUCCACUGAAUUCCAGCUAGUUGAUAAAUGGUGCAUCUAUAUAUCUUUCAGAA